rnacentral:rRNA from 1 species
AGAGGGUUCAAAAACUACUAUAGGUAGGCAGUGGUUGCCGACCUCUCAUAUUAUUCAAAACGUAUGUGUUCAUAUGAUUUUGGCAAUUAUAUGAGUAAAUUAAAUCAUAUACAUAUGAAAAUUAAUAUAUAUUAUAUGUAUAAGUGAAAAAUGUUGAAAUAUUCCCAUAUUCUUUAAGUAUUAUAGAGAAAAGCCAUUUUAGUGAAUGGAUAUAGUAGUGUAAGCCAGCUGUUCUACGACAGAGGGUUCAAAAACUACUAUAGUUAGGCAGUGGUUUCCGGCCUCUCAUAUUGUUCAAAACGUAUGUGUUCAUAUGAUUUUGGCAAUUAUAUGAGUAAAUUAUAUCAUAUACAUAUGAAAAUUAAUAUUUAUUAUAUGUAUAAGUGAAAAAUGUUGAAAUAUUCCCAUAUUAUCUAAGCAUUAUAGAGAAAAGCCAUUUUAGUGAAUGGAUAUAGUAGUGUAAGCUUGCUGUUUUACGACAGAGGGUUCAAAAACUACUAUAGGUAGGCAGUGGUUGCCGACCUCUCAUAUUGUUCAAAACGUAUGUGUUCAUAUGAUUUUGGCAAUUAUAUGAGUAAAUUAAAUCAUAUACAUAUGAAAAUUAAUAUUUAUUAUAUGUAUAAGUGAAAAAUGUUGAAAUAUUCCCAUAUUAUCUAAGUAUUAUAGAGAAAAGCCAUUUUAGUAAAUGGAUAUAGUAGUGCAAGCUAGCUGUUCUACGACAGAGGGUUCAAAAACUACUAUAGGUAGGCAGUGGUUGCCGACCUCUCAUAUUGUUCAAAACAUAUGUGUUCAUAUGAUUUUGGCAAUUAUAUGAGUAAAUUAAAUCAUAUACAUUUGAAAGUUAAUAUUUAUUAUAUGUAUAAGUGAAAAAUGUUGAAAUAUUCCCAUAUUCUCUAAGCAUUAUAGAGAAAAGCCAUUUUAGUAAAUGGAUAUAGUAGUGUAAGCUAGCUGUUUUACGACAGAGGGUUCAAAAACUACUAUAGGUAGGCAGUGGUUUCCGGCCUCUCAUAUUGUUCAAAACGUAUGUGUUCAUAUGAUUUUGGCAAUUAUAUGAGUAAAUUAAUUCAUAUACAUAUGAAUAUUAAUAUUUAUUAUAUUGUUAAGUGAAAAAUGUUGAAAUAUUCCCAUAUUAUCUAAGUAUUAUAGAGAAAAGACAUUUUAGUAAAUGGAUAUAGUAGUGUAAGCUAGCUGUUCUACGACAGAGGGUUCAAAAACUAAUAUAGGAACGUAUGUGUUCAUAUGAUUUUGGCAAUUAUAUGAGUAAAUUAAAUCAUAUACAUAUGAAAAUGUAUAUUUAUUAUAUGUAUAUAGGGGAAAAAAUAAUCAUAUAAUAUAUAUGAAUAAUGGAAAAUGAGGUGUUCAUAUAUUCUCGUAAUAUAUAAGAGAAUAGCCCGUAUGUUGGGUGGUAAAUGGAAUUGAAAAUACCCGCUUUGAGGACAGUGGGUUCAAAAACUACUAUAGGUAGGCGCAGUGGUUGCCGACCUCGCAUUGUUCGAAAUAUAUAUUUCGUAUUAUGAUUAUAUUGGUUACUUAUAAUAAAGUAUAUUAUUAUCCGUACAAAUUUGUUUCUCAGUUCUUUUUUAACACGGGACUUGGCUCCGCGGAUAAUAGGAAUAUACGCUAUUUUAGAUAAUAUCCUUGAAACAAAAGUCAGGUUUCUAUUAUACAUAGAAUAACAAAUCGUUUUCAUAUAUUAU